rnacentral:rRNA from 1 species
AUUGAACGCUGGCGGCAGGCCUAACACAUGCAAGUCGAGCGGAUGAAGGGAGCUUGCUCCUGGAUUCAGCGGCGGACUGGUGAGUAAUGCCUAGGAAUCUGCCUGGUAGUGGGGGAUAACGUCCGGAAACGGGCGCUCAUACCGCAUACGUCCUGAGGGAGUAAGGGGGGGAUCUUCGGACCUCACGCUCUCAGAUGAGCCUAGGUCGGAUUAGCUAGUUGGUGGGGUAAAGGCCUACCAAGGCGACGAUCCGUAACUGGUCUGAGAGGAUGAUCAGCCACACUGGAACUGAGACACGGUCCAGACUCCUACGGGAGGCAGCAGUGGGGAAUAUUGGACAAUGGGCGAAAGCCUGAUCCAGCCAUGCCGCGUGUGUGAAGAAGGUCUUCGGAUUGUAAAGCACUUUAAGUUGGGAGGAAGGGCAGUAAGUUAAUACCUUGCUGUUUUGACGUUACCAACAGAAUAAGCACCGGCUAACUUCGUG